rnacentral:rRNA from 1 species
AACGAACGCUGGCGGCAGGCUUAACACAUGCAAGUCGAGCGCCCCGCAAGGGGAGCGGCAGACGGGUGAGUAACGCGUGGGAACGUGCCCUUUGGUUCGGAACAACUCCGGGAAACUGGAGCUAAUACCGGAUAAGCCCUUCGGGGGAAAGAUUUAUCGCCAAAGGAUCGGCCCGCGUCUGAUUAGCUAGUUGGUGAGGUAAUGGCUCACCAAGGCGACGAUCAGUAGCUGGUCUGAGAGGAUGAUCAGCCACACUGGGACUGAGACACGGCCCAGACUCCUACGGGAGGCAGCAGUAGGGAAUUUUGCGCAAUGGGGGAAACCCUGACGCAGCAACGCCAUGUGUGGGAUGAAGCAUUUCGGUGUGUAAACCACUGUCGGCAGGGAAUAAAGUCCGCGCUUGCGCGGAGGUGAAUGUACCUGCAAAGGAAGCCCCGGCUAACUUCGUGCCAG